CGUGACUGCUACCGAGGUGCAUCAUGGGGAAUUGGCGGUUAACGACAUGCUCACUUUACUUGGACGUUUUCUAAUCGUCUUCUUUGGAAUAUGCUUUCAAGGUCUGUGAAGCCAAACUUGAUGCUGGGGAUUUAUUUUUGUCAGUGGAGUCAAAUGGUUGAAGCAGAAUUUGCCCGUCUUACAUCUGUUGACCUGAAAGGGUUCCUUUUUGCUGUGCUUGACCAUUAUGGAGAGGUUCGUGGAG